rnacentral:lncRNA from 1 species
GUGCAUAACCAGACAGUUAUACCUAAGGGUGCGCAACUCGGCGGGGGCAAAAUAGGUCGACUCGGCGGUACCAAUAUAGGUCGUCGUCAUUUAUCACAAACUAUAAGACAGCCAAUCAGAAGGCUAGCACAAGUUCUUAAGAUUUUACUGCAAAUUAAUACAGCUCCAGAUACCAUAAAUCAUUGGGAUAUACAACAUGCAUGUACAUGUACAGAUCAUCACGCAAUGAAUGAAUGAAUCAACCACGGGGCAAGGGAGGCCUUUCGUGUACCAACAAUACGCCCCCGCCUGAUUUUGAUUGCCGCCGGAAUACCUUCAUCGGGCUGGGGAAAUGCCACCCUCUACUCGACUGAUGAUCAGAUCUCCCUGAAUCUAACGCCGUCACCGCCACCGACCUCGAUUUCCGCAUCAUCACCAUCCGCGGCACCUCUUUGAUCUCAUCAUCAUUAAUCUUGAUUACAUCCUCUGAUUGCUUCUUCCUGCUUCCUUUCAAAACGGACCAAAUCGACGGUGUCGGAGACGGAGUCUUCUUCACGGAAUUACCUGAUGGAUGACGGCUCGACGAUCUCAGGAAAGGAAUCGCCAAGGAUCUCGACCGCCGCAACGAAGGCUCCGCGCACUCACGGGCCGCAACGAUGGCUCGGCGCCCUCCGUCGAGGAUGAGGAAGAGGAUGAGCACGAGCAAGGGCGGACGUCGGCACAGUCAGGGCAGAGAGCCGUCAGACGAUCCCUGAGGCAGCGGUGGCAGAUUCCAGUACGGCGUGGCCUCGACGGAUGGGUGGCGCAUUUCCAGACUUGCUCCUCGUCAACGUAGGCGGCAGCCAUCAAUUCUUAUGAAGACUCUGUUUCAGAGUUUCUGGUUUUGGGGUUUGAUUGAAUUGAAUGGAUGAUAUGAUAUAAUGGUGGUGGUG